rnacentral:rRNA from 1 species
CCUACGGGGGGCAGCAGUGGGGAAUAUUGGUCAAUGGACGCAAGUCUGAACCAGCCAUGCCGCGUGCAGGAAGACGGCUCUAUGAGUUGUAAACUGCUUUUGUACGAGGGUAAACGCAGAUACGCGUAUCUGUCUGAAAGUAUCGUACGAAUAAGGAUCGGCUAACUCCGUGCCAGCAGCCGCGGUAAUACGGAGGAUUCAAGCGUUAUACGGAUUUAUUGGGUGUAAAGGGUGCGUAGGCGGUCGGAUAAGUUAGAGGUGAAAUCCCGAGGCUCAACUUCGGAAUUGCCUCUGAUACUGUGCGGCUAGAGAGUAGUUGCGGUAGGCGGAAUGUAUGGUGUAGCGGUGAAAUGCUUAGAGAUCAUACAGAACACCGAUGGCGAAGGCAGCUUACCAAGCUACUUCUGACGUUGAGGCACGAAAGCGUGGGGAGCAAACAGGAUUAGAUACCCGGGUAGUC